rnacentral:rRNA from 3 species
UUAAGCGACUAAGCGUACACGGUGGAUGCCCUGGCAGUCAGAGGCGAUGAAGGACGUGCUAAUCUGCGAUAAGCGUCGGUAAGGUGAUAUGAACCGUUAUAACCGGCGAUUUCCGAAUGGGGAAACCCAGUGUGUUUCGACACACUAUCAUUAACUGAAUCCAUAGGUUAAUGAGGCGAACCGGGGGAACUGAAACAUCUAAGUACCCCGAGGAAAAGAAAUCAACCGAGAUUCCCCCAGUAGCGGCGAGCGAACGGGGAGGAGCCCAGAGCCUGAAUCAGUGUGUGUGUUAGUGGAAGCGUCUGGAAAGGCGCGCGAUACAGGGUGACAGCCCCGUACACAAAAAUGCACAUGCUGUGAGCUCGAUGAGUAGGGCGGGACACGUGGUAUCCUGUCUGAAUAUGGGGGGACCAUCCUCCAAGGCUAAAUACUCCUGACUGACCGAUAGUGAACCAGUACCGUGAGGGAAAGGCGAAAAGAACCCCGGCGAGGGGAGUGAAAAAGAACCUGAAACCGUGUACGUACAAGCAGUGGGAGCCUCUUAAUGGGGUGACUGCGUACCUUUUGUAUAAUGGGUCAGCGACUUAUAUUCUGUAGCAAGGUUAACCGAAUAGGGGAGCCGAAGGGAAACCGAGUCUUAACUGGGCGUUAAGUUGCAGGGUAUAGACCCGAAACCCGGUGAUCUAGCCAUGGGCAGGUUGAAGGUUGGGUAACACUAACUGGAGGACCGAACCGACUAAUGUUGAAAAAUUAGCGGAUGACUUGUGGCUGGGGGUGAAAGGCCAAUCAAACCGGGAGAUAGCUGGUUCUCCCCGAAAGCUAUUUAGGUAGCGCCUCGUGAAUUCAUCUCCGGGGGUAGAGCACUGUUUCGGCAAGGGGGUCAUCCCGACUUACCAACCCGAUGCAAACUGCGAAUACCGGAGAAUGUUAUCACGGGAGACACACGGCGGGUGCUAACGUCCGUCGUGAAGAGGGAAACAACCCAGACCGCCAGCUAAGGUCCCAAAGUCAUGGUUAAGUGGGAAACGAUGUGGGAAGGCCCAGACAGCCAGGAUGUUGGCUUAGAAGCAGCCAUCAUUUAAAGAAAGCGUAAUAGCUCACUGGUCGAGUCGGCCUGCGCGGAAGAUGUAACGGGGCUAAACCAUGCACCGAAGCUGCGGCAGCGACACUAUGUGUUGUUGGGUAGGGGAGCGUUCUGUAAGCCUGUGAAGGUGGCCUGUGAGGGUUGCUGGAGGUAUCAGAAGUGCGAAUGCUGACAUAAGUAACGAUAAAGCGGGUGAAAAGCCCGCUCGCCGGAAGACCAAGGGUUCCUGUCCAACGUUAAUCGGGGCAGGGUGAGUCGACCCCUAAGGCGAGGCCGAAAGGCGUAGUCGAUGGGAAACAGGUUAAUAUUCCUGUACUUGGUGUUACUGCGAAGGGGGGACGGAGAAGGCUAUGUUGGCCGGGCGACGGUUGUCCCGGUUUAAGCGUGUAGGCUGGUUUUCCAGGCAAAUCCGGAAAAUCAAGGCUGAGGCGUGAUGACGAGGCACUACGGUGCUGAAGUGACAAAUGCCCUGCUUCCAGGAAAAGCCUCUAAGCAUCAGGUAACAUCAAAUCGUACCCCAAACCGACACAGGUGGUCAGGUAGAGAAUACCAAGGCGCUUGAGAGAACUCGGGUGAAGGAACUAGGCAAAAUGGUGCCGUAACUUCGGGAGAAGGCACGCUGAUAUGUAGGUGAAGCGACUUGCUCGUGGAGCUGAAAUCAGUCGAAGAUACCAGCUGGCUGCAACUGUUUAUUAAAAACACAGCACUGUGCAAACACGAAAGUGGACGUAUACGGUGUGACGCCUGCCCGGUGCCGGAAGGUUAAUUGAUGGGGUUAGCGGUAACGCGAAGCUCUUGAUCGAAGCCCCGGUAAACGGCGGCCGUAACUAUAACGGUCCUAAGGUAGCGAAAUUCCUUGUCGGGUAAGUUCCGACCUGCACGAAUGGCGUAAUGAUGGCCAGGCUGUCUCCACCCGAGACUCAGUGAAAUUGAACUCGCUGUGAAGAUGCAGUGUACCCGCGGCAAGACGGAAAGACCCCGUGAACCUUUACUAUAGCUUGACACUGAACAUUGAGCCUUGAUGUGUAGGAUAGGUGGGAGGCUUUGAAGUGUGGACGCCAGUCUGCAUGGAGCCGACCUUGAAAUACCACCCUUUAAUGUUUGAUGUUCUAACGUUGGCCCGUAAUCCGGGUUGCGGACAGUGUCUGGUGGGUAGUUUGACUGGGGCGGUCUCCUCCUAAAGAGUAACGGAGGAGCACGAAGGUUGGCUAAUCCUGGUCGGACAUCAGGAGGUUAGUGCAAUGGCAUAAGCCAGCUUGACUGCGAGCGUGACGGCGCGAGCAGGUGCGAAAGCAGGUCAUAGUGAUCCGGUGGUUCUGAAUGGAAGGGCCAUCGCUCAACGGAUAAAAGGUACUCCGGGGAUAACAGGCUGAUACCGCCCAAGAGUUCAUAUCGACGGCGGUGUUUGGCACCUCGAUGUCGGCUCAUCACAUCCUGGGGCUGAAGUAGGUCCCAAGGGUAUGGCUGUUCGCCAUUUAAAGUGGUACGCGAGCUGGGUUUAGAACGUCGUGAGACAGUUCGGUCCCUAUCUGCCGUGGGCGCUGGAGAACUGAGGGGGGCUGCUCCUAGUACGAGAGGACCGGAGUGGACGCAUCACUGGUGUUCGGGUUGUCAUGCCAAUGGCACUGCCCGGUAGCUAAAUGCGGAAGAGAUAAGUGCUGAAAGCAUCUAAGCACGAAACUUGCCCCGAGAUGAGUUCUCCCUGACUCCUUGAGAGUCCUGAAGGAACGUUGAAGACGACGACGUUGAUAGGCCGGGUGUGUAAGCGCAGCGAUGCGUUGAGCUAACCGGUACUAAUGAACCGUGAGGCUUAACCUU